UUGUUUGCCAUUGGUAGGUGUGC
rnacentral:piRNA from 1 species